rnacentral:misc_RNA from 1 species
GACGUCUGGCGAACCCCGGCUGGGGUUCCAGGCGAGAACGGAGGUCGGGGCCUUGGCCGAGGUAGCCUGAAUAAAACCAACGGCCAUAACUCUUCCAGCGGUGGGGUCAAGGACUCUCACGGAGGUCGAUGUGACACUACCGGUCAAUUCAUCGGACGAUAUUAAUGUGCUUCUAACGGUGAGUAUCGGUAUUGUACGAAAGAGUUUUCUCUCCACGUCCGCGGAGUACACCGUU